rnacentral:rRNA from 1 species
CCUACGGGUGGCAGCAGUGGGGAAUAUUGCACAAUGGGCGCAAGCCUGAUGCAGCCAUGCCGCGUGUGUGAAGAAGGCCUUCGGGUUGUAAAGCACUUUCAGCGGGGAGGAAGGCGGUGAGGUUAAUAACCUCAUCGAUUGACGUUACCCGCAGAAGAAGCACCGGCUAACUCCGUGCCAGCAGCCGCGGUAAUACGGAGGGUGCAAGCGUUAAUCGGAAUUACUGGGCGUAAAGCGCACGCAGGCGGUCUGUCAAGUCGGAUGUGAAAUCCCCGGGCUCAACCUGGGAACUGCAUUCGAAACUGGCAGGCUAGAGUCUUGUAGAGGGGGGCAGAAUUCCAGGUGUAGCGGUGAAAUGCGUAGAGAUCUGGAGGAAUACCGGUGGCGAAGGCGGCCCCCUGGACAAAGACUGACGCUCAGGUGCGAAAGCGUGGGGAGCAAACAGGAUUAGAUACCCGGGUAGUC